ACAGUACAUCACCUUCAUGAGCGCAUCAGUGAACACCAGUCUAAGGAAGACAUCUCUGAACGUAAUUUUGGAGAUUUUGAUGAGUUCCAUUGAAACAAGGAGGAAUGUGAUGUCCAGUAUCAGUUCUGCAGACCCAAGGACAAAGAAAAUUCUGUGAUAAACUCAUCCAGUGUGACUGUAAUGUGGGUAUCUAUUUGAUACCUCCAAGUAACUGUUUAUUCUUGUGCCAGUUGAGUAGAUGGUACGGGCCAGUUGGUGUUGAUUAGUGAACCACGGACAAAGGGCAUAUGUCACAUGAGUUGCUCCUGGAUAAAGUCACCCAGUCACUUCCUGAUGAAUAUCCUGCAUAAACUCCAAAGACAAAAGAGAGUUAAGGUUGUUUUUCUCACCUUAGACCAGGCAGUGAUAGAAGAACUGGGGGAAGAGAUAAUUGUAUUUAUCUUGGUGAGGGUGACAAAUCAUGGCAAAUGAGCAAAAUGAAAAAGGAUACAAGACACCGGACUUUCAAAUCAACAAUUGUUUCAAAAGACUCCUACUGGAUUCCUGCUAGUGAUGGGAGAAAAUUAUCAUUCUGUGAGUUGUCAAUAAAUGUUUAACCACA
rnacentral:lncRNA from 1 species